rnacentral:rRNA from 1 species
CAAAAACCGAGAUUUCACUCCCAACCCAUGUGAACGUUACCAAACUGUUGCCUCGGCGGGAUCUCUGCCCCGGGUGCGUCGCAGCCCCGGACCAAGGCGCCCGCCGGAGGACCAACCAAAACUCUUAUUGUAUACCCCCUCGCGGGUUUUUUACUAUCUGAGCCAUCUCGGCGCCCCUCGUGGGCGUUUCGAAAAUGAAUCAAAACUUUCAACAACGGAUCUCUUGGUUCUGGCAUCGAUGAAGAACGCAGCGAAAUGCGAUAAGUAAUGUGAAUUGCAGAAUUCAGUGAAUCAUCGAAUCUUUGAACGCACAUUGCGCCCGCCAGUAUUCUGGCGGGCAUGCCUGUCCGAGCGUCAUUUCAACCCUCGAACCCCUCCGGGGGGUCGGCGUUGGGGAUCGGCCCUUUACGGGGCCGGCCCCGAAAUACAGUGGCGGUCUCGCCGCAGCCUCUCCUGCGCAGUAGUUUGCACACUCGCAUCGGGAGCGCGGCGCGUCCACAGCCGUUAAACACCCCAAACUUCUGAAAUGUUGACCUCGGAUCAGGUAGGAAUACCCGCUGAACUUAAGCAUAUCAAUAAGCGGAGGAA